rnacentral:sRNA from 1 species
UUCUCCUCAAGAAGAAGAGUGAGAUCCAGACCCUGAAGGAGGAGAUUGAACAGAGCCUGACCAAGAGGGAUGAGUUCGAGUUUCUGGAGAAAGCAUCAAAACUGCGAGGAAUCUCAACAAAGCCAGUCUACAUCCCUGAGGUGGAACUGAACCACAAGCUGAUAAAAGGCAUCGGCCAGAGCACCAUAGACCUCAAAAACGAGCUGAAGCAGUGCAUCGGGCGGCUCCAGGAGCCCACCCCCAGUUCAGGUGACCCUGGAGAGCAUGACCCAGCGUCCACACACAAAUCCACACGCCCUGUGAAGAAGGUCUCCAAAGAGGAAAAGAAAUCCAAGAAACCUUGUAAGUUAUGCAUUUCUGCAACUGUUCGUUUCUUGAGACUGCCCGAGCACAGAACUAAAUACUGGUAGUGAGAGUUGACCUCUCUCAUCAGGGUUCUGUGAUGGGUUCUAUAUGAUUCCAUUCUGUAAUAGCAGCAGGCCUGAGGCUGGAGGGGAG